ACCAGCAGCCAUAUCACCCUGCAGCUCCCAGCUUGCCGCCCACUGAAGCUCAGCAGGUGUGAGCCUGGCCAGUACCUGGAUGGGAGACCUCCUGGGAAAAACUAAGACUGCUGCUGGAA
rnacentral:rRNA from 1 species